rnacentral:lncRNA from 1 species
CCCGCUACAACCACCAAAGCUUUCUCUGCACCCAAACAAAUACAAAUACAGCUCUCUCUAUCUCGCUCUCUCUCCUCCCUUCUCUCUUUCUUUCUUUUCUACGGUGAAGGACUGGCAUCUUUCACUUCCCUGCUCCCCCUACUCCCUGCUGCCCCACCUCCAGCGCCUUCUUCCCUCCAGCGCAGCCUGGGCGAGGCCUUGAGGCAUCUGCUUUCCACACGGACCGGCCUAGGGGUCCUAGGGCUCAGCCCCUCCUUCAGCCGCCCGAGGGGAAUCGAGGCUCCUCCCGCCCGACAGUCGCCGGGGCGGUGCACUGCGGCCAGCCCGGGCCCCGGGCGGCGGCGGAGAAACUUACCUGCGCGGGCCGCUCCCGGAGCUCCCGAGUCGCAGUCAGCCGCGCGGCCGCCGCCGCAUCUCCUGGCAGCAGGUCCCCCACCCACCCCGCCGCGCUGUCCCGCGCCGCACUUUUCCCAGGCUGGGAAGUUUGCUGAAAGCCAGGAGAUUUGGGCACAGCUCAGUGACACCUUCAAAGCCACUCGUAUGGAAAGGACCGCGGGCGGGACGCGGCCGCCGGGACUCAGGUUAAAUUUAGUCCGUAGCUGAGCUAAUCGCUCCUCCAACUCACCCAAUGGACCAGUGUUUGACCCAGGGGGCGAAACAACGGAUAAAGCAGUCUCCGCCAGAAUUUCAAAAACUCCCUGGAGGCCACUGAAUGUUUUAUGCAUCAGAAGGGAAGGCUGGGAUUCCGGUCACUGUGGCUAGGAUGGGGGAGGGCUCGGCCAGCAGGGU